rnacentral:rRNA from 1 species
GGACUACAGGGGUAUCUAAUCCUGUUUGCUCCCCACGCUUUCGCGCAUCAGCGUCAGCACCGGUCCAGGUAGCCGCCUUCGCCACUGGUGUUCCUCCCAAUAUCUACGCAUUUCACCGCUACACUGGGAAUUCCGCUACCCCCUCCCGGCCUCAAGCUAAGAAGUUUCAAAGGCAGUUCCUCAGUUGAGCCGAGGGAUUUCACCUUUGACUUUCCAAGCCGCCUACGCGCCCUUUACGCCCAAUAAUUCCGAAUAACGCUUGCCCCCUCCGUAUUACCGCGGCGGCUGGCAC